ACUCCUACGGGAGGCAGCAGUGGGGAAUAUUGCACAAUGGGGGAAACCCUGAUGCGCAGCCAUGCGCGUGUGUGAAGAAGGCCUUCGGGUUGUAAAGCACUUUCAGUAGGGAGGAAGGUAGUGUAGUUAACACCUGCAUUAUUUGACGUUACCUACAGAAGAAGCACCGGCUAACUCCGUGCCAGCAGCCGCGGUAAUACGGAGGGUGCGAGCGUUAAUCGGAAUUACUGGGCGUAAAGCGCAUGCAGGCGGCCUGUUAAGUCAGAUGUGAAAGCCCGGGGCUUAACCUCGGAAUUGCAUUUGAAACUGGCAGGCUAGAGUCUUGUAGAGGGGGUG
rnacentral:rRNA from 1 species